AUUAUGUUUGUUGGGAAUUUGAUUUUAUUCUUUGUUUAAUUUUUACUUCACAUUUGCAUUCAUGCAAUGCACGAGAAAUAUUUUUAUAUUUAUUCAUAUAUAAAAUUUAUAUCAACUCAAUAAUUAUCAAUAUAAUAAAAAUAUAUUUUUAAUGAAAUAUAUUUAAGUCGAAUAUAGAAAAAAUAAAGAAAACUGAUAUUAUGAAAAAGCAAAAAAAGUAAGAAAAUAAAAUAACUG
rnacentral:lncRNA from 1 species